UUAUAGGGAGCUUCUAUGGUGCAUUCCAGCUUUGGAAUGUAUGGGUGCAUUCCAAACUUUUAACCAAUAGAAUUCAAUUUAAUUGCCACAUCAACUAAGGUCCAUGGUGAGUCUCUUUUUCCUUAAUAAACUUUUGUUUAUUGCAUAUGAGUCCUCCAUCAAAUGAAAAAUACAAAUCAAAAACAUUUUUAAUUUCAAUUUAAAAUCAUAAAUCAUUUACACUUUUUAUUUAUCAUUUUUAACAUUAUUAUUUGAACAUAUUAAAAUUGAAAGUGAAAAACCCUAAAUCCCAAAUUCCCAACUGUUCUUCAUCCAAUUUGUUCAUCCUUCUUCGUCCUCCUCCAUGUCCUUCUCCUUCUUCGUCUUCGUCCUUCUCCUUCUUCGUCGUCGUCCAUUUUGUUCAUCCCAAAUUCCUCCACUACUCUUCGUCUUCGUCUUAAUCUUCCUCAUCCAUAGUCUUAUUAUGUCAGACUUCAGUUUUAUUCGUUUCACUAAUUGAUAUCAACUAAAGCAUAAUCGACUUCUUCCCUCUCACCCAAUGUCGUAUCCGUGUUCCUGGUCAAUUUGUAAUUCGCACCGGUUGUUCACCCAAAAACUCUUCACAGUUAUUUGUUCUAUGGUUCAAAGCAUCGUCGUGUACUUCACAGUUAAGUAAUGGAUGGCAAUAUAUAUCCACUCUCAUCCAAAUUCAGGAAUCCUGCGUUUAUGAGGUUAUCAGGACAGAAAUGGAAUAAAGGAGCUAACAGUUGACUUGUUUGAACUGGAAAACAGACAAUGCAGAAGGGCUUAAAGGGUUACAAAAAUAUGCACGCAACAUGGUGAUUAGACUUGAAGUCAAAAAUGUUAAGAAGGAGAAGGUGAAUGAUAUCAGUUUUACUUAGACAUAGAAGAACUAAGAGGCAUGGCGCGUUUUGUGCUUGGACUUGGUGGAUCAGUGUUUAUCAUUGUGUUUUGUUUGCUGGAUGAUGAAGUUUGCUUAGAGUUGGACGGUUUUUGUGUUCAGAAAAGCAAAAGAGUAUUAUGCAUGAGUAAAGUUAAGAGUUGGACAAUUUGGGAGGUUGAUACGUAUUGGAAGUUGUAGCUACCUAGGUUUUAUUUUUCAAUAGCCUUUUUUAGUUGUAAUAAUUAGCAAGUGCAAUGUGUGUAAGACUGUAAGUAGAAGGCCAAGCAUCACGUUUUUGUGUGCUCAAUGUAAGCUAACCAACAUGAAUUAAUGUGUUGUCCAUAAUAAUAAAUU